GUUACAUUUUAUUUGCCACUUUUUAAAUUGUUCUCUGCAGCUUUCAGCUGACAUGUUCAUGGUGCAGCCUUUUUCUCUCCUGUCGCAGCUGGUAACGGAAAUAGCAGGACUGAUCACACCAACCAGUCCCAGCUGGUCUGCCAGCCUUCUGGCACUGCCCACCGGACACACUGCCCUACCAGUCCAACACAUUCCAGUCCUCUGCAGCAGAGCUGCAGACCACACCCCCGCCACAUACCUCCAGCACCAAACUAAGGUCAGAGAGCUAUCCGGGAAGCCUACCACCCACGAGAGGGAGAGGAAAUCAGCCAUGACCACCUUGAAAUGAAACGGCUGGAGAGCGAGAUACCACUGGCUGAUCCGAGCGUUGGCAUCCUUCAUGCGAUGGAGCCAUUGCAGUGGGUCAGAAUCUUUUCCAGAUGGUCCAGGAAAGCCAGGUGGUCCUAUAAAUCCGGUUACUCCAGGUGGUCCAGGAAUUCCAUGUGGUCCAAUAAGUCCAGUAUCUCCUUUAAAGCAGGUGGACCAGCUGGUCCAGGAGGUCCACUGUCUCCUUUGGGACCACGAGGACCUGGAUUCUGACUAUACCCAAUUGGAGCCACCAGGAAAAGGACACAGAAUUGGAGCCAUGCCAUCAUUGUUUAAAUGCAGAGCUUAAAGAUAAACAAGAAGAUGUUAAAGGUUUUCAAAGUUAUUCAGAGAUGUUAAUUUGUUAAAUGGUAUUAACACUAAAAUAUAAUAAAAACUCACCAGUAUACAAGCAGUUAUCCACUAGCUGGGCUGCUUCAUGUGCUGCUUUCAAACAAAUACAGCUCAGAACUCAAAGUCAAAAAUAUAUGAGCCACUCGUUGAAGAGGAAAUAAAAACAAGGUGAGUAUUUGAUUGGAAACAAGACAGAAUAGAGAAACAAAAAAGGUCAGAGAAAGACUAAAGUGUGUAUACACAAACAUCCAUUCAAGCAACAUCAUUUGAUAACACUUUAUAAUAAUUAGACAAUAUAAAGGAUUAACAAGGUGUUAGAGGUAAGAUAUCCUGUAGCUCCAACUUCUCUUUCUGUCUUAAACCCCUCUUACCAUCUUAGACGCUGUUCCAACUUACAUUGCAAUCUUCUGUAUCUUGUAUCUCUUUUUGAUUUGUCUGUCAUUUUUCUGUUGUGAAGAUAACCAAGACUUUGUGAGCUACUUUAUUUUCGUUAAUAAAUGCUUUAUAAGGUAAACAUAAUAAUUAAUUUAGAUGAAGUCACACAAAAUGGUUAAAUGACUACCAGUAACUGCCUGAAUUAACUAUGACCUAAAAAAAUAAAAUAAGUAAAUAAAAUAAUAAUCAAAUAAGUUUUUAUAAAAUUCUCUAUUAAUAAAUUCACAAAAAAUGAGCUCAUACCUUAAUCUUAAUAGUGCAUGUAAACUUAAUAGUCUACAUGUAAAUACUUUGAUCACAGUUAUAUAUUACAUAUGCAUUAUACAUGAACCUAUUAAUCAAGAAUAAACAUUUAUAUCAGUAUUUAUACAGGAGGAGUAAUGCUUUGUAAUGUUUUAUAAAUGAUAACUGAAACACUUACUAAUAUCUUACUAAUGCUUAAUGGUGUGUCUUAAUAGUGUGCCAAAGCAGAAAGAGCAGUUUGUUGUUUGAUCAAGUCAUGUACAUAAAGCAGAGAUGAGAUCUUGGGGCCACCGGACCAGAAUGCCCUCCACAACUUGUCAUUCUGCUGUAUGAAUAUAAAUAUGGCUACUGUAUGGUGAAUGGUUGCUAAAUACUGUAGGUCUCGAAAGAAUUUUUCACCUUACCUAAAAAUGUAAUAAAAGAUUUGAAAGAA